GACGAACGCUGGCGGCGUGCCUAAUACAUGCAAGUCGAACGAAGCUUUUUUAACUGGUGCUUGCACCGACUUAAACAACUGAGUGGCGAACGGGUGAGUAACACGUGGGUAACCUGCCCCAAAGCGGGGGAUAACAUUUGGAAACAGAUGCUAAUACCGCAUAACCACAGAAACCACAUGGUUUCUGUGUCAAAGAUGGUUUCGGCUAUCACUUUGGGAUGGACCCGCGGCGUAUUAGCUGGUUGGUAAGGUAAUGGCUUACCAAGGCAAUGAUACGUAGCCGAACUGAGAGGGUGAUCGGCCACAUUGGGACUGAGACACGGCCCAAACUCCUACGGGAGGCAGCAGUAGGGAAUCUUCCACAAUGGACGAAAGUCUGAUGGAGCAACGCCGCGUGAGUGAAGAAGGUUUUCGGAUCGUAAAACUCUGCUGUCAGAGAAGAACGUGUGCGAGAGUAACUGUUCGUGCAGUGACGGUAUCUGGCCAGAAAGCCACGGCUAACUACGUGCCAGCAGCCGCCGUAA
rnacentral:rRNA from 1 species